GAAGAUAUGGGCUAGUCUUGAGCUUUCUGGUUGAGUUUUCACAUGCCUUUGGACAUUAGGUUCAACAUCUUCCAUGAUGGUAGGACCUAUUAGAUUGUUGAUGCACUUGUGAUGAUGUACUCAUAUUGAUAGUUGACAUGUCGUGUUUUGAUUUGCUUACAUUUCAGACCUAGAGUUUUGGUCAGCGUUUGUGUGAUCCAUUAUUUUAGUUUUGCUUUGUCAGCAUAGUUUCAGUGAUGUUUGGACUUGUUUUAGCGUUUGUUCAUUGAGGCUAUGUAUAUCUUUU
rnacentral:lncRNA from 1 species